AUACGUAGGUGGCGAGCGUUACUCGGAAUUACUAGGCGUAAAGCGUAUGUAGGUGGUUAGAUAAGUCUGAUGUGAAAGCCCCGGGCUCAACCUGGGAAGUGCAUUGGAUACUGGCAGACUUGAAUACGGGAGAGGGCAGUGGAAUUCCUGGUGUAGGAGUGAAAUCCGUAGAUAUCAGGAGGAACACCGGUGGCGAAGGCGGCUGCCUGGACCGAUAUUGACGCUGAGACGCGAAAGCGUGGGUAGC
rnacentral:rRNA from 1 species